rnacentral:pre_miRNA from 1 species
GUGUGUGAUGCCCUUCUUCAGAGAGUUUUAGUCGUUUGUAAUUAAGUAUGACUGAAGCAUCUGAGGGAGAGUAAUGCAUGC